AGGGUUGUGGCUCAGUGGUAGAGCAUGUGCCUUGCACGUGUGAGACACUGGGUUCAAUCCUCAGCACCACAU
rfam:Ictidomys tridecemlineatus contig083214, whole genome shotgun sequence.